UUUGUCAUUUGCGCGGGCCGUUGCGCAGUGUGGUGCAGUGUUGUUUUUUGCGGAUUUCACAAAUUUGUCUGAGAAUGUCAGCUUGGCGUCCAAGUUACGAGGCUCCUCAAGACUUCAUCGCCCUUCUCCAUAACAGCAAAGACGAAUUAUUGUUUUUUGUACACAUCUGAACAACUUAAUUAUAAAUUGUCAAUAAAAAUGC